rnacentral:rRNA from 1 species
GGUACCCUACGGGGCGCAGCAGUCGGGAAUAUUGCGCAAUGGAGGAAACUCUGACGCAGUGACGCCGCGUAUAGGAAGAAGGUUUUCGGAUUGUAAACUAUUGUCGUUAGGGAAGAUAAAAGACAGUACCUAAGGAGGAAGCUCCGGCUAACUACGUGCCAGCAGCCGCGGUAAUACGUAGGGAGCAAGCGUUAUCCGGAAUUAUUGGGUGUAAAGGGUGCGAAGACGGGAAUACAAGUUGGUUGUGAAAUCCCUUGGCUUAACUGAGGAACUGCAACCAAAACUAGAUUUCUUGAGUACUGGAG